GCGGGUUUACGACCUCGAUGUUGGAUCAGGGUAUCCCAGUGGUGCAGCCGCUACUAAAGGUUCGUUUGUUCAACGAUUAAAACCCUACGUGAUCUGAGUUCAGACCGGAGUAAUCCAGGUCAGUUUCUAUCUAUAAGGAGCUUUUUCUAGUACGAAAGGACCGAAAAAACAUGGCCUAUAUAUAAUACAAGCCAUAUUUAGUAAUUUAUGAUUAAAACUCAAUAAAUACUUGACCUAUUACUCAACUCUAAACAAGAGUAGUU
rnacentral:rRNA from 1 species